UAAAACAAUUGACCAUCCUUGGCACAAGCAGUAAAGGGUUUAGUGGUUGGUACCUGAUCGAUGUUCCAAUUUCGAAUCCUAGUUGAUUCAUAUUUUCAGCUAAAUUCAUUUCUAAAACCAGAUAGUAUAUAUACUACCCUGUCUCUUUUUCUUUUCUUUUUUUUUCUUUCAUAAAAGAAAAAAAAAACAAUCUUAUAACGAUGCAUUCAAUU
rnacentral:lncRNA from 1 species